rnacentral:rRNA from 1 species
AGCAGCCGCGGUAAUUCCAGCUCCAAUAGCGUAUAUUAAAGUUGUUGCAGUUAAAAAGCUCGUAGUUGAAUUUCGGGGUCAGUAGGUCGGUCGUGCCACUGGUAUGAACUGGUUUUACUGAUUCCUCCCUCUUGAAGAACUGUAAUGCCAUUAAUUUGGUGUUGCAGGGAAUCAGGACUGUUACUUUGAAAAAAUUAGAGUGUUUAAAGCAGGCUUUAGCUUGAAUACAUUAGCAUGGAAUAAUGAAAUAGGACGUUUGAUCCUAUUUUGUUGGUUUCUAGGAUUGACGUAAUGAUUAAUAGGGAUAGUUGGGGGCAUUAGUAUUCAAUUGUCAGAGGUGAAAUUCUUGGAUUUAUUGAAGACUAACUACUGCGAAAGCAUUUGCCAAGGAUGUUUUCAUUAAUCAAGAACGAAAGUUAGGGGAUCGAAGACGAUCAGAUACCGUCGUAGUCUUAACCAUAAACUAUGCCGACUAGGGAUCGGAUGAUGUUAAUUUUAAUGACUCA